GUCCAUGCUUCCUGGAACGGUGCAUGGAUCAAAGCUCCGGCGGCAUACGAUGGCUCUGCGGCCUAUCAGGUUGUAGGGAGGGUAACGUCCUCCCUAGCCUUCGACGGGUAUGGGUGUUGGGAGACAUCGCCCAGAGAUGGACUCUGAGACACGAGUCCAGGCCCUACGGGGCGCAGCAGGCGCGAAAACUGCACAAUGUGGGAAACCACGAUGCGGGAACCCCAAGUGUCUGCACAAUGUGUAGACUGUCCCCAAGCGUUCAUUGCUUGGGAAGAAAGUGCUGGGUAAGACGGGUGCCAGCCGCCGCGGUAAUACCCGCAGCACGAGUGGUGGUCACUAUUAUUGGGCCUAAAGCGUCCGUAGCCUGUUGAGUAAAUGCCUGGGUAAAUCGAUGCGCUCAACGUAUCGACUUCCGGGUAGACUGCUUGACUUGAGACCGGGAGAGGUGUGAGGUACUCGGGGGGUAGGGGUAAAAUCCUGUAAUCCUCCGGGGACCACCAGUGGCGAAGGCGUCACACUAGAACGGUUCUGACGGUGAGGGACGAAGCCCUGGGGCGCAAACCGGAUUAGAUACCCGGGUAGUCCAGGGUGUAAACGCUGCUGACUUGGUGUCGGAGGUACUACGAGUGCUUUCGGUGCCGGAGAGAAGUUGUUAAGUCA
rnacentral:rRNA from 1 species